CAAAUAGAGUACUAAAUACUUGCAAAAGAUCAGGCAUUCGAAGAAAAUAUGAGAAAUGGAUUCUUCAAAACUGCAUCACCUACGCUCUGAAGCGAGCCACAACCGACUACACCUCUCCUAGAUAUCUUUUGUAGCAAUUCUAUUUUGAAAUAAUAUCCAAACUAAACACACAACUUUUGACAAAAUCGAUUUAUGUCAAGCCUUUGACCAUAAUAGAUCUGACAAACUAACUAUUCCCGCCAUAAGCUUCUUAUAAGCCUAAUACAAAAUUGGAAUCUCCUGAACACAUAUAUCCAAUUGAGAGACAUCAUUCCACAAAGAAAAGAAGAACUUCAUCGACCACCUUCUCUAACAACCUCAUCUCUCACACCAUAUCUAUUUACCAUCACUCCAUACCAAGAAAACAAUUUGUCUUAAUAGAUGUCUAAUUUUGUUCUUAGUUUUUACAGGGCCUCAUCUCAAAUGUGCCGGCUUUAAAUUGACAAUGGUCAUUGAUACACCGACCACCAACAAACAUUUAUAGACCAAGCUCCUUUUCGCAUGAUAAUUAAAAGGAAGAUGAAUGUGUAACAUAUAAACAUGUGACAGUGAAAUACAAAAUUGAAAGACCACUUACUACAAAUUAGUUACAUCUUUAUAAACACACUGGCUAAAAUAAUAUUCAAGUAAAUGCUUCACAGAGCCUUUGUACUCGGAGGCAUAAUAAUGAAUACAAUAUGCUAAAAAAUGUCAAAGGCAUUGGAUGUAGUCGCCUAUCAUUCCUAAAAUAAGCAACUAAAUUUACAUAGCUUCAAAUCCAAUGCACUACAG
rnacentral:lncRNA from 1 species